UGCUAUAUGGACUAGUAGUUAGGCCUUGGCGCUCUCACUGCGGCGGCCCGGGUUCGAUUCCUGGCCAGGGAA